rnacentral:rRNA from 1 species
UACGGAGGGUGCGAGCGUUGUCCGGAAUCACUGGGCGUAAAGGGCGCGUAGGCGGCCUGAUAAGUAGGGGGUGAAAUCUUGCGGCUUAACCGCAAGGCUGCCUUCUAAACUGUCAGGCUAGAGCACAGUAGAGGCAGGUGGAAUUCCCGGUGUAGCGGUGGAAUGCGUAGAGAUCGGGAAGAACAUCAGUGGCGAAGGCGGCAUCCUGGCCCUGACCUGACGCUGAGGCGCGAGAGCGUGGGGAGCAAACGGG